rnacentral:rRNA from 1 species
UACGUAGGUGGCAAGCGUUGUCCGGAUUUACUGGGCGUAAAGCGCGCGCAGGCGGAUUGGUCAGUCCGGGGUGAAAUCUCACGGCUCAACUGUGAGCGGUCCCCGGAUACUGCCAGUCUCGAGGUGUCUAGAGGAGAGCGGAAUUCCCGGUGUAGUGGUGGAAUGCGUAGAUAUCGGGAAGAACACCAGUGGCGAAGGCGACUUACUGGACGAUUGUUGACGCUGAGGUGCGAAAGCGUGGGGAGCAAACAGG